GCUCAAGUUGCUGCAGAUAAAUCUGGGAAGUGAAGAAAUACUAGAAACUUCCUUAAGUAGUUUAAGUAAACUCCUUUACUGAGAAGGUCUUAGAAACCCUUCCCUUUGCUGCGCUCCGAAAAUCGCAACCUUGCUGGGCUUCUGGUUGCCGAUCUAGUUUUUGCCCUCCCGCUUCUUCAUUAGGUCCUUGAGAGAGCUGUGAAACACAGAUCUAUCCUGUUCAGUGCUGCGGGCCCGCGCUCUGGAAAGUUUCUGCAUUUCUUUGAGCGGCUGCUUUCCCCACCGAGUUUCCCGGGGCCCGGGCACCCGCAGCCCUCCUCUCUCUGCAGAACGUGAGGGGCGUGAGCAGUCGGGCGGUGGGCUCGUCUCUCCCCGGCUGCUGCCCAUGCAGCCAUCUCUCAUUCUCCUCUCCCUAGUGAGCCCUUCUGGAAGAAAUUGGGCCCUAAGUGUGGUCUCAGCUCUCUCAAGUGAUGGGGAGCCUUGGAGAUGGUUUGAGAACCAAGUUCUGCACGCUAGUAUCCAUUCUCCCAACUGAUAAUGACGCUUCAGUUGCCCGUAAGGAAGACCCUCCUUCCCCCAUUGGAUACAACCUUACUUCGACUGUUACUCAAGGUGUCCUACCCUCCUCUGGCCAGUGGGUCGCUCUUCCCAGUCUUCAUGCACCUGCAGGGCUGUCAACACUGGGAGGACUGGAAGAAAUUUGUAAAGAGUCUGGGAGUCUUCAGAGAGGAAAAGAGUGCAGACCUGGACUCCUCCUUUUCCAAUGUCUUUAUUAUUAGAAGGUUUUCUAUGCAUUGAGCCGGUUCUGAUUAAGAAAGGAUCUAAUAAGAAGGAACAUUGAAGACCUUAAGCUGUUAGCCCUGCUGUGGCCGGCAUUACCCGAUGGGACAGGCUAUCCGGUCAUGGGCACGACUGGAGGCAGAAGGCCCUCCUGACCCGGCCACUGUGCUCUGUAAACUAAAAAGCUGUUGGCGCGGAUGCCAUGUCUUACCUCUGAGGAGCAGGCUGCUUCUCUCUUGACGAAUCGCUGUGGCCACUAUUGGAAUCUGCAACAGCAAAGGCCAGCGCACACCAGGCGAAAAGGUCACCCUGGCCUGUGGGGGAUCCGUUUUCAUCAGUAAACGGUGCCAGGAGCAGAACACCAGCAGCCUUCAGCUUGUAUUCUCUCAGACUCUCUGGUUUUCUCCCUCUGAGGUGGAUCAAGAGGCCCCCAGAGUUUUUGAACAAUUUGAUAGACAAGAGAGACCUUGGACUCCCUGCUAGUCUGGCAAUUGAGAAGUGGUUUUAAUUUGGAAAAAAUAACAGGUGGGACCUCAUUUUUACCCAAAACUAUUGAAGUAGAUCCUACUAUUACCACAUGUACAUAUAUAUUUUACAAAUAUGUCAUCAUAACAUAUAUUGUUUAAUACUUGAUAAGUUCUGUAAAAGUUUCUUUUUUCUCUCUCCUAGAUGUUAUGACCUGAGAAGACUGAAUGUAUUUUCUUGUGGUCUUGUGCUUUGCAGUUUUGAAUAUAUAGUUUAGAUCAAUAAAGAUAUAUUAAU
rnacentral:lncRNA from 1 species